AGGGCUGAGCCUUGAGAUAGGGACUGAAGAACCAUCUCCUCCCCUCCAGCCAGCAUGGCAGCUGCCUGGACAGGUGAUUACCAUCGUCCUAUGACAGGAGGGCCUGAGGUCUGUGGAUGGUGUCCAUGACCUAUCGGGCCUGGAAGACCAGAGCUCAAGACCCCAGAUGGGCUCCUGAGCUGCCUAAUACAGGUUGAUUUGUUCACAGCUGCCUCUGCCCUCUGCCUAGAGAGAGUUGCUCUUUUAUUCCUCAACCUCCUCUGAAGGUUUUUCCGUCUGUCACUAAGUCACCUGCUCACAGGCUUCCCAGCUUUGUGACAGGUGAACAAAACACUUACAUGUUAGAAAAAAUAUGGGCAUGGCCUUAACUC
rnacentral:lncRNA from 10 species